rnacentral:pre_miRNA from 1 species
GAGACAAGAGCCGCUCCGAAUAGCCAAGGAAGACAUGCCUAUAUAUGUAUGAGUACAGAGUACUACACACACAUAUAAUUGACGACAGGACUGAUCAGGAGAAUCAAAAUGCAGAUGAGCAGCGUAUAAACACAUGCACAUAGGCAUUAGGCAAGUCAUCCUUGGCUACCGAAUCAGCUCUUGUCC